GUGGAAAGGCCUAAGAUUUCUGUAAAAGCAGGGGUCAGUGAAUUAAAAUUCUCCUAGGAGCGAAGGGCUUCUGAAUGCUUAUUUCUGAUAAUCUUAUUUAUGUCCCGGGCCACAUCCCCACCACACCCCCACUCCAAAGGCUUCUCUUGUGCUGCCUGUGCCCUGGACUACUCACUGACUGACCUUAUCUGCCUUUGGGGAUUGGAGGUGAGGUAGUCUGGUGUCAACAGUACAGACUCCGGGAGUAGGUGAGAAACCCCGUGGCAAGAUCAUCUGAGCACUGCUAACAGCCCGAUGGAUGAGGAGAGACACGCACACACCCGUCUACAGACCCACUUUACAGAUGAAGUGACAGGCUGAGAUGAAAUAGUGGGCAGAGAGCCAAUCCAGAGGAAACCAAGCAUGCAGCCAGCGAGUCAGACAUUUGUGGGAAUUGGGAAAACAUUACACCUGCCCCACUGGAGACACGGAUGUUAGAUUUGGUUUUAGGUAUACAUUCCAAGUACUGUGUAUGACUGUUUUCCCCCAAGGACCCUCUGGGAGCAUGAGACAGGGAGGACAGGAAAGAAUCUCUGAUAAUAAAAAAACAAAAACAAAACAAAA
rnacentral:lncRNA from 1 species